UACGUAGGAGGCAAGCGUUGUCCGGAAUUACUGGGCGUAAAGCGCGUGUAGGUGGUGGGACAAGUCUGCUGUGGAAGCGCCUGGCUUAACCGGGCGAGGUCGGCGGAAACUGUCCGACUCGAGGACGGUAGAGGGGGGGGGUGGAAUUCCCGGUGUAGUGGUGAAAUGCGUAGAGAUCGGGAGGAACACCUGUGGCGAAGGCGGCCCCCUGGGCCGGCCCUGACACUGAGACGCGAAGGCGUGGGGAGCGAACGGG
rnacentral:rRNA from 1 species